rnacentral:tRNA from 1 species
GCAGUCGUGGCCGAGUGGUUAAGGCGAUGGACUUGAAAUCCAUUGGGGUCUCCCGCGCAGGUUCGAAUCCUGCGGCUGCG